GGUGUGUCUCCCUCUCUCUGGUUAGAGGACAGACAAGCAGGGUGUGUCUCCCUCUCUCUGGUUAGAGGACAGACAAGCAGGGUGUGUCUCCCUCUCUUUGGUUAGGGGACAGACAAGCAGGGUGUGUCUCCCUCUCUCUGGUUAGAGGACAGACAAGCAGGGUGUGUCUCCCUCUCUCUGGUUAGAGGACAGACAAGCAGGGUGUGUCUCCCUCUCUCUGGUUAGAGGACAGACAAGCAGGGUGUGUCUCCCUCUCUCUGGUUAGUGGACAGACAAGCAGGGUGUGUCUCCCUCUCUCUGGUUAGAGGACAGACAAGCAGGGUGUGUCUCCCUCUCUCUGGUUAGAGGACAGACAAGCAGGGUGUUAACACACAUCUGUCAUCUGCUGGUAAAUGUGUUUCCUCUGUUAGUAAUGUGAUGACCUGCAGGCCAAGGGAGGAGGUAGACACUGACAUAUUUAGCUUUGUGUUUUGUGGCUGUUAACUUCUGGGAUCAGCAGGUGUAACUUAUUUGUGUCUCGUUCUCAGCAUCCCUCUCUCUCUCUGUCUCUCUCUCUCUGUCUCUCUCUCUCUCUGUCUCUCUCUCUCUCUCUCUCUCUCUCUCUCUCUCUCUCUGUCUCUCUCUCUCUCUCAAUUCGCUUUAUUGGCAUGACGCAACAAUGUACAUAAUGCCCAAACUUAUUUUGGAUAUUUACAAUAUAAAAAAUAAAUAGAAAUGAGAAUUAAAAUUGUCAACGGGACAACAGUAACAACAAUAACAAUAAGCAUACAGUAAAGUACAUGUGCAGGUUGAUUGGUCUGUCAGACACUGUCCCUCAUCUUAUGGCAGGCAGCAAUUUAGUGCGCUGCCAACCCACAGGUCUCUGCGUCCUCCCCCAACAGGACUGGUAGCCUACUCUCAUCAGAGAGGUCUUUAAAACCUUGAAUAAGGAUUUCAAAUUUGGGAAAAUGAAACUCUCUAAUUGUUUUAUAUUUUUUACAUUUUGUCGGGAAAUGCAGCUCCGUCUCAGGUUCUGAUGUUGUGCAGUGGUCUCUCAAUUCAAUUCAAUUCAAUUCAAGGGCUUUAUUGGCAUGGGAAACAUGUGUUAACAUUGCCAAAGCAAGUGAGGUAGAUAAUAUAUAAAGUCUCUAUCUCUCUCUCUUAUAUAUAUCUAUCUCUCUCUCCCUCUCCCUGUCUCUCCCUCUCUCCCUGUCUCUCUCUCUCUCUCCCUGUCUCUCCCUCUCUCUCUGUCUGUCUCUCCCUGUUUCUCCCUCUCUCCCUGUCUCUGUCUCUCCCUCUCUCUCUGUCUCUCUCCCUGUCUCUCCCUCUCUCCCUGUCUCUCUGUCUCUCUCUGUCUCUCCCUGUCUCUCUCUCCCUCUCUCCCUGUCUCUCUCUCUCUCUCUCUCCCUGUCUCUCCCUGUCUCUCCCUCUCUCCCUGUCUCUCUGUCUCUCCCUGUCUCUCUGUCUCUCCCUGUCUCUCUGUCUCUCCCUCUCUCGUGUCCUGCUGUAAAAGUGGCACCACUCCACCCUGCAGAUUGCCCCUCCCUCUCACAGUACAGGUGGUUACAUGGUGGUGUAAUACGCCCUCCCCCACUUUAUCUCCCUUUUCUCUCCUCCCCUUCUCCUUGGUGUAUAGCAGUCAGCCCAGACAAUCGUGGGCUCAGUCUAGUCAACUAGAGAGAGAGAGAGAGAGAGAGAGAGAAUACAGCACAAGACCUCUGGAGUACCACUGGCAACGGGACGGUUUUCUUUUACAUACAUACACACUCGCAUUCACACUUUCUUCCACACACAGACUCGGAAGCGGCAGCAUGUUGGUGAACAGGGUCUGGCUUGUGGUGUGUGUGUUCUGCUGUGUGUGUGUGUCAGUGUGUGUGAACGCAGAGGAAUAUGAAGUGAACUACGCAGACAACUACGAAAACGAGAUUACACAGGACCAACAGGACGGGGACUCCCCUAUGACUACCUGCCAGGCUACAGACCUCUCUCGCUGGAACAAACUCUUCGUGGCUCUGGAGGACUCCCACCAGAGGGAUAUGAUGCUGAUGGAAGCCCUGGAGCAACGCUGUGGAACCCCGGGAGUCUGCCAGCAGUGCCUGCCUGCCAUCGAAGCAGUUUGUCGGGGGCAGACAGAGCAGGCGAGCCCCAGGCUCCAUCAAGGCCUAGUGGAGCUGAAGGAGGAGGUAACAGAGCGAGAGGGGAGGAUGAAUUCUUCAAUACAGCAGAUCAGGCAGGAGGGAGCAGAAAGUUAUGGGAGGAUGAUGGCUGUGUUACAUCAUCUCCUUCAGAACAGCAAAGAGCAGAACCAUAGACUACAUCGAUUGGAGGAGAGUAAGCUGAGAGGGGAGGUGACAGAAGGGGCUGAAUCUUUUGGAGCCGGGCAUAGAGAAGCAGAGCCAAUCAGGACAGGGCAUAAAGAGAAUGGAUUUAGGGGAGGGGCUUAGUGGGACAGGUAGACCAAUAGGGACGAGACCUGGCAGUGUAGGGGCGGGUCUCGGACUGGGUUUGGGCAUGAAGCUGUUCCCGUCAAGCACAAAGAAACAGGAAGUGACAUCUUCGCCAUCAUCGGACCCGGGAAUGAUUGAGCGGCCUCUGGUUGCUAUAGCGAUGGAAAAGCAGAAGGUGCAGACCCAGCUGGGCCUAAUAUCCUCUGUAGGGAACGAAGGAUGAAAAAAGACGAGGAGAAAUUAAAGGAAGGAUGUCUGAUGGAAAUUGUCCUCUAUCAGGGACUGAAUUAAAACUAAAAUAUAAACUUGUUGAAAUUUAGAAAUGUACAAUAGUAAAGCAAAACAAUUGCCUUGAAAUAUGUUUAGUAUUCUUUUAAAUUCUGUAUAAUUAAAGGAAAUGCUCUGUGACUCUAAUUGUCUAAGUGAUGAAUAAAGAUUUGUUAAACUUUUUAAUUGGUGGAAAGGGUUCCUCCUGUCUCAAGUUAUACACCCACCAUCUUUACCAGGGAAAAACUUGUCAUCAUGGACAUUGUGGACAAUAACAGGAGUGUCUCAGAUACUGUUGACAUCUCAGCUAUAAUCAGACACAGUCCUCUUUCUCAUUACUAAGUUUAUACACUUUAACAAACUGUUUAGGAUUUUUGAAGUUUUGCCUGACUUAUAACACAGUGACUGUUCUGCUGCC
ensembl:lncRNA